rnacentral:misc_RNA from 1 species
UACAAAUAUUCUAUUUAAGUAUGGCCCAGAGACCAGGAAGUUUAAUACAACAACAGAGAUAAAACCAGUCUGGUAGCCCUCUACACUAUGUUUCUCUUGUUUAACUGAUUUCUGUUGGACAAAAGUUAUGAUAUUCAACCAAUUUCGGGAACAUACAUUGAACUUUUAAAAUAUUUCAAAACGUUUAAAAUUUUCAGAGCACGCUUCGAACCUUUCAAAACGCGUGUAUAAUUCAGGUUAUGCAUAACUCCUAACCGAAAGAGAAGGGUUUGAAUUACAGACUCCAACCCCAUAGAUACAUUAAGUGAAGACAGUUUCGUUUUCGAUAUCAUGGGAUUGACUCGCAUUGUCUUUGUAAUCUUGGCGACAUGGAAUUCGCUGGACAUUAUUACAGGAGCACAGAUUAAACUGUCGAAUAACACCACUGUCAUAGAAUAUGGACGUAGAUAUAUCCUAGAAUGUUCUGUCUCAGGAAAUAUUCGGAGCCGAGCAAUUUCUUUCAAGCACAACACUUUGGAUAUUUGUAAACUACGUGUAUCCAAGACUAACGAUAGGAUAGAUAGGACAUCUUGUGAGACAUUCUACAACACAUCAUCAGCGUAUAAUUGUCUCUGUAUCGCGUAUUACAGCGAUGUGUCAGUUUACAGAAUAACGAUAAAGUCGUUUAACGAAGUGGACGCAACGCAGUGGUGGUGUGUCGCUGAAAUGUCCAGCAGUAAUGAAGCAGAUAGACUAAGUAACAUUGUCAACCUCUUCUAUGUUACUCUUUCUGGAAAUGUGACGACAUUCGAUGCUGAUGGUGUGAACUCAGUUACUUUUACUUGUGAAACAAGCAACAUGACAGGAAGUGUUACCUUUACGUGGAUAAACAAAACAAUUGAAGGAUCCACAUAUAUUGAAAACAACCUGAUUGUAUCUAAAAAUGGCAGCACAUACCGACAAGAGCUUAAAUUUAUUCCACAUUGGUAUCAACAUGGAAACACAAUUGCCUGUAAAGUUCUUGAUGUAAGCACCAACAUAACAGCAAUGUCAAAUUCUGAAAUUUUGGAUUUGAUAUAUCCCCCAUUGAAAAGUCCUGUAAUGAAGCAGAUAACAAAUCAAGAGACACCUCUCAGUUCAGAAAUUACAAUCCAGGAAGGAGCCAUGUUGAACUUGUCGUGUGAAGUUACUGGAGGAAAGCCGCGUGUGUCAACCGUUACAAUACGGUGUGAUGGUAUUAACAGUACAUUUUAUUCAGUGGUCGGAGAUCGUGUUACAGGUUAUCUCUCGUUAACAGUGCGGAGGAACCUUCACAACCAUGCCUGCCAGUGUUCAGCUACACACGAGACAGGUCGAUAUCAUUUUACUUCGAAUGUCACCAUUCGAGUUAACUUAACAGAUGCCGAAGGUGUGACAGUAGGUCAUGAGUUUAACUCCAGUAACAAGAUCCUAAAGGUGAUAUGUGAAGUAAAAGGAUAUCCAGAUAUAUACACCUUCUCUUCAUUCACUCACUUCUGGGGCGAACAUAGAAUCAGAGAGCUACCAGGACAACACGUAUCGCCUAACAAGUACGUCUUGACUGUUCAAAACGCGACAUACGCUGACUCGGGGAGGUACCAAUGUGAUGUCAGCAAUGGAGUUCAAGGACCGAACAAGAUCAAACUUCAAACUAAUUUUACGUUAGUAGCCAUUGGUGACAAACCCAUAUUCGGUGAUGAAGAACAGAACCAGACAGUGUCCGCUGUUCUUGGUACAACUGUCGUUUUGGAGAGAAAGAUAUUCAGUAAAUCCAAUAUUACUCUUCCCACGUGGACAAACGGACAGGGUGAGAACUUUACAGCUGAAAUAUCUUCGACAACUGUGACAUUACGUAUCUACAACACUACAGUGGCAGAUGACGGUUACUCAGUGAAACUGACGAUUUCUAAUUUGAGCAACGAUGACCAGGGAAUUUAUAAACUGGCUGUCUGUAAUAUCAAUGGGUGCGACCAGUUUUACACAACUUUAAAAGUGGUUGUUUCAGAACCUGUCACUUUGGACCCAAUACUGAUACCAGCUGCUUCCGGUGCAGCAGGAUUUGUGGUUUUAUUGGUCAUCGUUAUCGUCAUCAUCUGUGUCAUCAAGAAGAGGAGGAAUUCACAAACAAACAAAAGUAGGAUAAUUUCGUUUUUGACUAACUUUUCAAUUUAUAAAUGAACGGUUUCACUACAAAAUGAGAUCAGUCUCAGUUGUGAACACGCUCUGAAAUGGCAGAUAACAAAGAUGAUGAUUACAAUUCCGUGAACCGAACCAAUGCACAACGGGAGACAGAUAUUAAUGACGAUGGGUAUACUGUGAUUCAUGAUGAUAAACUACAAAAAGAGCCA